AACUGUGCAGAAAGUAAUGCCAGGGACCCCGCAGGAAGUGAUGAACUGGGACAUCUGUAGUGCUGAGCGUUUGUUUCACAAACAGAGUGGCUGCCAUUCAUAGAGAAUGUGAGAAGCCAUCAAGUCAAGGCACCUGUUUGUUUAUUAUUUGUUGCUGUCACCGUCCUUGGGUUGCUAGGAGAUAUUAUGCGGAGGGCACCAGUUGCCUAGCAACAGCCAGAAGCUGAUGCUCCAUUUGGAAGUUGGUGAUGGGGGAACUGAUGGUGACUUUUCCAUAAUCUGCUUUGGUUACAUUAAAAAAACAAACAUCUUUUGAGCAAUGGGUAAGUCUUAUGGGCACUUCUUCUCGUUGUCUGCCAUUCCAUUUCUAUACCCUGGGGUCCCCUCUUUGUUUCUCUCCUCCCAACCUACUUGAUUGCCCUUGUCUUCCACCACUGUGGCUUAACAGUAGGCAUAAUUUGAGCAAAAACUUAGCCUUGAAAUAUCUGGUCAAUGCAACAAGUUCUCUGAUAAAGCCCAUGAAUCCUGGGCUGAUUUGGAAUUAAGCCAAAUGUUGUGUUUACCAAUCAUAAGCCCUGUUACUUUCCUAAUGAAUUAGAUCCCAAAAUCAUAGAUUCGGUUGGGUCGACUUACAUGCCUGGGGGCCAAAUAUGACCCUUACAGAGUGAUGGGGGGGUAGAAGAAUGAUAAAACAUUGAUUGUAUGAGUGCUUAGAAAAUAGUAAAUGGUUCCACACAAGCCUAAUUAUUUAGGAUCACAGCCUAUUCCAUGAAAGCAAAGGGCAGAUACCCUCCCUCUUCCCAGGACCAGAAGAGGCAUAAAACGGGAGAAGCUUAGAUAGAUGUGCAGAUGCAGUCUCUGAUUGCUUGGGGAAAGCCCAGGGGAGGAGGAGACACAGACGGCAGUGGGGAAACCUUUAGUCUUGGUAACUGAUUUCCUGGAGUAAGACAGGGAAGGAACUGCUGUGUUCAUUAGGUCCGACACUCGACAAGUUCUGUGAAGAUUGUGUUUUUGCUAGUAAAGAGGUGUGAUUUACUGACUGACUCACUCUGUGACACCCUGAUCCCAGCUGGUUGCAACUCAGUGGUAAAAAGAAAGGCACAUCUUCUCUUCGAUGUGUUUUAGUAUGGUGCCCUAACUUCAAGGUCCCUGGAAAAUACAGUGGUACCUUGGUUAUCGAACGGCUUAGUUGUCGAACAAAUCAGCUCCCGAAUGCUACAAACCCAGGAGUAAGUGUUCCGGAUUGUGAAUGUUUUUCGGAAGACGAACAGGAAGCUCCUGCAGCCAAUCAGAAGCCACACCUUGGUUUUCAAAUGGUUCCAGGAGUCUAACGGAGUCCUGGAACAGAAUAAGUUCAAGAACCAAGGUAACCACUGUAGUUCAAAGUCCAAUUCAAGGUGCUCACAUAAGGGUUUAAAACCCAAAGUGAUGUAGGCCCCAGUUAUCUGAAAGACUCCCUCCUUCCUAAUGGAGUUGAUCAACAGAGGGGUCCCUCUUGAUGCUUCCAUUGUCCUCAGAAGUUUGGGGCAUUCUCUUUGCCAGCCUCUGAAGCCAUGGAAUUGCCUUCCUACAGAGAUGCAUCGAGCACCUUCAUUACUCAGUUUUUGUCGUAUGCUGAAGAUGCUUUACCCUGACCUUGGACACCCAAGACAUCUAUUUCUGGUACCCACCCCAUUCUCGUGACUGUAAUUUGCUUUAACUGAUUUUAAUAUUGUUAUUUUUUUAAUUGUUCGUGGUGAAGGGCAGGGCAGAAAUUUAAUAAAUCAUCGUCGUCGUCAUUAUUUUAUUUUUUUAAAAUGCAUUCAAUGAAAAGGCUCAGAUUCAACUUAGGAAAAGAAAUGAAGAAUGUUUAUUUUCAACAGUUUCAGUAGCUUAACACUAAGUUGCAAAUUACCCAACCAUUUUUUUGUAUUGUCUGGAUAAAACUGACAGACAAAGAAAACAGCGCAUCCGUAUCUUCCUUUAAAGACAAAAGACAGCAUCCAACAUUAAUGUGUGCUGGACACUAUGUGCUAAGUCACACUUUGCCACAUGUACAGCACUGUUACAGAGCAACCUGCCACAGAAGAUGCCAAACAGGGAAGUUCAUGCACCUUAUGAACAUUUCAAUGGGGUUUGUUAGAAAUGAGACAUUUUCUUGGAUUUGGGGGUCUUUUACGAGAGAUCCUGUCCUGUGCAAUGUAUUCCAAAAAGGUUACCGACCCAGGUAACAUGCAGUUGAUAAUUAUCUAGUUGCCCGCCCGUUUUCAUUUUUCGUUAAAUUCUUGCAAACUUCAUGCGUUAUGAGGAUUGGCAUGGCAAAGGAGAGGACAUGUAGCAGGUAGCACUAUUUUAACACCCAGGGAUAGAGGGCACAACCCAGCAAAAGAUUAUCUUCACUAAAUCCCUGUGAAAGUGAGUCACAUCUAAAAACAUUUCCAUACACGAGACUUAAAUUGCCUUCAAGCCUCUGUUGGCUCUAGGCUUGGGCUUUCUGUUAAGGGAAGGACCACACUAUGUGGUAGAGCAUCUUCAUCCAUGCAGGUGGUCCUAAAUCUAAUCCUCAGCGCCUCCAGGUAGGGCCAGGAGAGACAACUGCUUGAAACCCUGGAGAGCCAGUGCUGGUGAUACUGAGCUGAAUGGACCCAUGCUGUGACUUGAGAUAAGGCAGCUUCCUACGUUUGGUGUGUAAAAACAUAACGCCCAUGUGGAAAGGGAAGCAGGACACAGGCAAAUGCAAUUCAUAAUAUGUAACUGCAAGUCAACAUGUGCUGCGCAGAUUGGGUUUUUGGCCAAGGUGCAUUCAUCCAAUUAGGAUGUUGAAGCCAGUGAACUUCAGCAUCAGAUGAAUGCAUGAUGUGCGGGGGUACAGUGGCUUCAGGAAUUCCCCUUCCACAUCUUGGAUAUAGUCAUGCCCUUUCACCAAGCAAAUGUGCUCUGGUUUAGGCCCUGUCUGAAAAGGCCAUGUAAGGGGAAGGUGCAUGCCACAUCCUGUCACAGUGAGCUCCAUACUUAAAGUAUGGAACAUAAUUAAUGUUCUGUGGCUAUGUGAAGAGGCAAAAGGAAAAAGGUCUCCCAUCAAUCCACUCACACACUGCCAGACAGAAUGACAGCCCUGGUGUGACCAGCAUGGGCCUUUGGUUGGUUGUGCUGACUGGGGAAUGUUCAUCCACAUCCAUCUUUUGCCUCUGGGAUUAGCAGUGGCCUCACUAGUAAUGGGGAGAGAUGGAGCCAUGCACAGUAAUGGGUGUGGCCCUAUGAGCAUCAUUUGCUGACCUCUGUUCCAGGUUUAGCAUUGCAAACAUAGCUUGUUGCCCGAUCUGUAAUCAACAAGGGAAAUUAAUUUUCUGCAAGAUUUCUUAGGAGUGUUGGGGAAGGGCCUUUUUACGAACCAAGCGCUAGCCCUGGGAGUGGGAACGCUUUUACAAUUUGAGAGUUUCCAUCUGAGCUUGCCUGCUCAUUCGCUCUCCCACCUGCUGGAGCUAAACUUUAGCACUGAUUGCAGCCUAAUUAUUUUAUCCACCGGACUGAACUUAAUGCGGAUGCAGAGCAGAUUCUGCUCCUGCCAUUUGGCGGAAACCUCCACACAUAUUCCCUAAUACUGUUUGCCGUUAUGUGACAGCACAGUCAAGCAUUGUGGCAUUCUGUUUUGCACAUCAGUCUGUGCUUGUCGUUGACAAAGGUGCAUGUAUUCCCCUGCUUUGGUGUCAUGUACAGUAAUAAAGGAUGGAACUGCAGCUCAGGAAAAAAAAGAAAAAUACAGCCCACCUCCCUUUAACUUCAACGAGGUGUCUUUGCCAAACAGGCCCGUUAGGGGGCAGAGCUGCCAUCAGAUUCAUAAUACAAAACACUGGCAGUGGCGGUGUCUGAAAAAACUGUGACAAAUGCUCAACAGUUAUCUGAAAACAAGGAGAUCUGACACAUUUGGUGAGCUUUAUAUUGAAACUUUUUGACAAUUGUAGCAUGAAAGUCAACUACAUAUAUUUUAUGGUCAGUGAUUGGACUUACACAAGUAGGUAGAACAGAACCAACAGUAUGGCACCUACCCCAACUUCCCUGUUAAAAAAUAACCAAAUGGCCAAUAUUAAUAUGGCCUAAUCAAACCUGACAUCCCUAAAAACUAAAUCUGUCAUCACAUAUUGUUAUCCAUGGUAUACACUGCCAUCUGCACAUCACAUUCUUCACACCAAAUGGAAUAUAUUAUUGCUUGUAAGCCUAUGUAGACUCUCUUUAUAAAAAGGCUUCUUUUGUUUGUUUACAGAAUACAGGAUUAUGACAAACUAGCUAAGGUUUUUGUUUUUUUCAUCUUGAAAAUACGACAUCAAUUCCUUCAACAAAGGCUUAGAUCUUAGGCUAAGAUCUUUAGCAGAGAUGUAAUGAACAACUGCAAAUAUUCUUACACAAUAUUAAUAGUAAUAAUAACUUAAUGAGAGAUUCAAGUGAAAUUUCUAUAGGACUAUUUCCUGGUAGCUAUUUACAAAACAUUUUUUUUUCCAUUUUUUGGGGAAAAACAACAAGUUGAUAACAUGUAGCAUCUAACACUAAACCAGUAAGGCCUGAAUCCAGAGAAGGGGGACUCUGCUGAUGUUCCAUUGAAUUCAAUGGCUAACUAGUUGUCAUGACUAGCCAGUGUUCAUUUAGUUCAAUGGAGCUGAUGGCUAACAUUCUCCAGAUCAGGAAGAAUACAGGUUGUACCAAACAUAAGACUUUUAAAAAAUAAUUUUAAAAAGUUAAGUUUGCAAUCCAAAACAUGCUUACAAAGGAAUAAGCCCCACUGGACACAGAAGGAUUUAUUUUGAGUAACCAUGCGAAAGAUUGCACUUUAAAUCAUAUAAUCUGUUAGAAAAAAAAGUAUCACAUUUUGUUUUUAAAGAAAAUAUUCCUCCAGUGUCAAAAUUAUUAAAUAGCAUGUAGUAAACUAACUUAAAUAAACUUCAUUAAAAAGUCUUGCUGUCUAAGAUGGUUAUUACUAAUCAUGCUUACAUUGAGAUUCUUACUGCCUCAAGAUCUACAUAAUUUCUUUGUAUACAUAAAUUUAUGAUAUUUCUUUUGCCUAUAGACCUACUUUAAAAAAACAAAAAAAGUACAUGUAUAAGGGAUCCAGUAUUAAAAACAUUAAAAAGGUAUAAUUAUAUACAACAGAAGCAUUCACAAAUUGAUUUUUCUUUCUUCAAAAGUCCUUUGCCCCAAAGUUGGGGAGCGUUGGUUGAGCUAACAGCAGGCUGGGUUUUGCUUAAUUCCCGAUCCUCAAAAAUAACUCUGCAUACAGAGGAAGAAUGAUCUGGUGCUUAAGAGGCACUGGAAGUCCAGAUUCAACUCCUUACUCUAAAAACUGACUUCCUAUAUGAACCUGGGAACUUCCUGUGAAACAAGAAUAGCUGUGACUUGGAGGCCAUUGACAUAUAAUAUUGUUUCAGUAUUUUACACGUUGUUUCAGUAUUUUGAUUGGCAAGAUAUAUUUCAUUCUAUUUGUAUAUUAUUAGUAAAUGGACUUUCAUGGGCACUCCGGGAGCUAAGAAAACCUAGAUUUGUCCUCUCUACCAUAACCAUUAGGAAUCGGGGGGUCAUAAAGCACUCCCAGAAAAAUAUGACAUUUGCAUCUGAAAACAAUUGUGGCAAUAAAAUGUUUCUCCUGUUUUCGGGGGUUAAAGAAUAGGGCAAUGAAGCUCAGAGCCAGUAUUUUGUGUGUUCCUAGGAUUGUGGCUGAGAGGUCACUGCUUUGCUCAUUAGGUCGUAUCCAUGUCAUAAAUUUAAAGCGCCUUUAAAGCACACAGCUUCCCCCAAAGAAUCCUGGGAAUUGUAGCUGACACCUUGCAGACCUACAAUUCCCAGCAUGCUUGCUAAACUACAGUUCCCAGGAUUCUUUGGGGGAAGCCAUGUGCUUUCAGUGCACGAUGUGGAUAUGAUGCACUUGUCAGUCAUUUUAACCAAAAUUCAAAGUGCUUGAAGAGGCUAUAAAAUGGAGAGAGGCGGAGCCUUUGCUCCUCAGCUUAACAACAAGCAAGGAAGCCACAGAGGUAACUAUUACCUCUCAGACAUACGCUAACUCUUCCCCUACUUCCCCAUAAAAGAAGUCAAUCAUUAAAAGUUACAGACAGACACGAUUCUAUUUUAAACUUUUAAAAGGCAGCAAGAGAUGAGGUUUCAAAAUGCAAAUACUUGCUUUACAAAUCCAAAAUGAUGAAGUGAAACUUAGGCCCAUGGGGCCUUUUUUCAUGAAAAGUAUUAUUAUUAUUUAUAAAGGCUUCACUGUAAGUUUCUUGGGAGUGGCUUCAGAAACAUCUUCUGACUCAUCAUGAAAAACAGGUAUGGGUGGGGGGGAGAGUAAGGGAGAUGUUCUCGUAUGUGCCCCUAAAGGGGUAGCGGAGCCCUCAGGAGCAUAACCAGGUAUCAUGCGAUCUAAUGUGGAAGAAAACAGGUUCCAGGCUGGACUUUACACAAGAGGAGCUGAUCCAAGCCUAUUGAUACUAAUUACCUCUUUAUCACUUGUGGAUUUCUGAGCCAGCUUUCAACAACAACCCAGUAAAAAGGUGUGCACAGGAGGAGAACACCUGCAUCUACUGAAGAACUGCCUCUUAAUUUAGAUGCAAAACUUAUUUGCUCUUUUGUAGCCAGUCUGUGGCCCCUACACCCUCGGAAGCUGCCUCAUUCUUCCACCUCAUCAGAGUUCCUUCCUUCCUGUUCAUCACUUCCCCUUUCUUGCCUCUGUGGUUGGUGUGCGUUAAGCACAUUAAAGUUAGAAAAGAGUCGCUUUCACUUGGCCCUCCAGUCGCUGUAUGGGUCUGUUGUCCUCAGUAAAAAAUAAAAAUCCUCUUUAUACUUAUUUGAGAGGAAUAAGUAUCAAAACCUAUCAAAAUCAGUGGGGCUUAAUUCUGAGUAGAUCUACAAAGGAUUGGAAAUCCUAAUUCGAGGUAGCCAUGGUGAAAUUGAAACAGGGCAGCCAUUGUUCGAGAUAAUUGUUCGAGUUAAUCCAGAACACUAUUGUCUCUGGCUGUGCCCACUGCAGUCAUGUGGUCCCCAAUUGGUCACCCCUGAGGGAGUGCAGCCCUUGAUAGAAGAAGAGUUUGCCCACUGCUGCUCUCAAGAAUAAGGGCUCUCACAAGAACGAGAAGAAUAGCUUUAAGCUGGCAAUGUAUCGUAUCUGGACGUUGCUUGUUAUGGGCUGAGAGCGAGGUGCUCUGAAAGCAGGUCUGCGUUUUAGAUUUCUGUUUGCGCUAGUGGGUCAGGAUCUAGGAAGGCCGUUGCAUGCAUGUACCCAGAGGGUGCACACAAGACCACAAGGGCCUUUGUCUUUGUAAGGUGAUUUUAGUCUCCUGGCAUUAGACUGCCAGUAUCAUAGUGCAGCCUACCCAGGGGGUUAUUGGGAUUUGUAAUGGAUCAGAGUAUGUGGGUGAAUGUGUGCAGGUGCGCUCUGGUUGAGGCACAGGUGUGUUAGAAGAUGUGGAUUUUGAAUAAGUGUAUAGAGUCCAUAGAAUUCUAUGUGAUCAAGUUUCAUGUUUCAUACAUUGCAUUAUUUACGGAUUCUGAUGUUCUCCAUACUGUGUUUAGUUUUUCUUGUUUUGCGCAUUCUUUUUCACUUUUUCUUUGUAAACCACCUCGUGAUCUUUUAUGAUGCAAAGUGGUAUAUAAAUACUUGAAAUAGAUGCAUAAAAUAGAUAAAUAGGAACUGAUGUUAUUUAGAAAGGGUGAUAAGGCGUGGUCAGUUCUGGGUGAGACUAGCAGGGAAAGGAUGUUCAGGGGCACCUGACUAGUUUCGAUUGCUAAGUAAAUUUUGUUCCUUCUAAUCCAGUCUUUGUAGAUCGUUUAUAAUCUUGCAUUUGUAGUAAUGCAGACUUGCUUGCUAAAAAGAGAAAACUGGAUUGCAUGUGUGCCUAGCUCAAAGUUGCUGUAACUAAGCUUUUUUUGCCAGGAUCCAAAGGGUUGCACCAAAGAGGGAAGAAAGGAAAUAGCUUGAAAUAAGUAUCCUCUUGCUAAGCAAAACCCUUUUGUAUUCUCUCAAGCCUCUAACACUUUUAAUCUGUUGCUUUUAAUUGCUGGCGUUACUGGGUUUUUAAAAAUUGCUUUUUAAAACUGUUUUUCAUUGCCAUUUAUUCUCUUGCUAAUUAUCCUGGGAAUCAACUGGUUGAAGGGUAGUAUACAAACACAUAGAAUCAACAUGAAAAUGUUUUUAACCUUUUGACGUUUAUGUCCUAUUGAAAUUAUUUCUAAGCAGCUUUGGGAUGGACCUCUCUGUUCUGAGUCCUUCAGUUUAACCCAACUCACACAUCCAUUCACAUUUGAGUUAACAGAGAUAGGCAGCUCCAGACAUUUUAGAGUUAAGUCUGUUGUGCUGUUAACAACAGAUUAGGAAGCCAAGAUUGUGUUUCCAGCAUUUUUGCUCCCACUUCCACUAUUAACAUUUGGGUAAGAAUUGACAGCUGUGCUGCAGGAUACAUACAAAACAGGGCUGAUUUGAUUUACAGGUUCAAACAACAUAAGCAAAAUCUUUGAAUUUAUAAAGCAUCAACGACUGCUCUUCGGUUCCCAGCUUUGGAAUGUGUUUUGUUUUCUCCACAGUCCUUUUUACGACAAGGUUAUUAAAAGAGUCAAUGGCUACCAAUCACUAAAUCUAACCCAAUCUAUUCUAGUCCAUACAUAUAUUGUACAAUAUUGCCUAGUACCUACUAUACACAAAUAUGAAGAGGAUUCAGUCUGAAAUAUAGUUAAGCGAGUUUUUAAAUAAAUGGGGGGAAAGGAGAGUCACAACAUAUUUUGACCAGCAUGCAACUACCUCCCUUCAGCCAAUACACAGAAAAUCUUUAAUAUGACUUGGAAACGGAAUUAUACUUGAAACCACAGGCAUAGAAAAAAUUAAGAUAAUCAAUCUGAAACUCUGGAGCUUCUGUGAUUUUAAUAUGCUCAAUGUUUCCUUAUGCUAUUAUCUAUAUUAGGUUACUUCUAGCAGAGCUCAUUACUGGGCCUACUGCUUUUCUAGUCAUUUGGUCGUUAUUUCCCAAACCAUUAAAAACACUACCUAUAACAUAUGACUGUCUAUGUUUCAUUCUAUAGUAAGUCAUGCUUUAAUCAUGCUUAGUUCGUAGUCCACGUAGAAACCUUGUUAUUACUCUGUGACGUAACAACAGGCCAGGAAGCCAUUUUGAGAUGGUUCCUAAAUGCUAACAUGGGACUUGGCACCAGAAACCGUGGAGCAAAAUCAGCUCUUGACAUCCUAAUAGGAAAACAGAUUUGAGAUAGCAAUCAUUAGAUCUUCAUUAGAAAUGAGAACAGAAACAAAACACCUAGCAAUGUACAAAAGGUAGAUCUAAAUACAGAUAGAGCGUCUUGGCCUACUUCCUAAAAUUACUCUCUAAACUGAAGCCUCUAGACAUGGCUGUCACCAGGUAAAUCACUUUGCAUUUGUUCAAUGGCUCUAUCUGGUAAACCACUAACCUACUCUACUGAAGGUGACUCUGUUGACAAUCUGCUGUCGUCUUAGCUGUAUGCAGAAUAUAUAUAUAUAUAUUAUAGCUAUCUUUUUAUUGGCGAACAUAAAAUAUUUACCUUUGAUUUUAUUUAUUUUUUGUUCAUUAUAAAAUAAUCCACAAAGCCUAUCUGCAGUGACCAGGUCAGUUUCACAAGUGACUCGGAAACCCAUGCCGGUAUCAACCCUCCAGCUGAAUCACAUUUAACUCUAUUCAAAAGCAAGACUUCUGCUGACUACCAAUAAGAGCUCAUGGUACAGCAGAAGACACACCCUUGCAUGCUGAACCUGGAAUGUAUAGAGCUUUGUGGCAAUAAGAAUGGUGGAUGGAGGGUCAACAAAGCAUUAUGAGUAGAGAACAUCCACUCAGAACAUCCACACAUAUAUACAGGCAGGACGACACAUACACACAAAUAGCCACGUGGAAGUUCAAAUGCCAACAUCGAUCUCCUCCUCACACUCAUUCAAAAGUGCAUUGCAGUCAUUCACACGUGCACACAAACCAUGCAAAAGGUUGGAAGGCGCUUUUAGUGUCACUUGUGAAAACACCCUUAAAUAAGUCCUUAUCUGCCUUCUGUGCCUGAGUUUUCCAUGUUGCUUCACACCACUUGAGUAUUAAUACAGUUGUCUGAAUGCAACACUCCUUUUUCUCUAAGCGCAGGGUUUAAUAAUCUCCUGCAUGACGAACAGAACUCCAUCUUCUGAUCACUCCCACCUCUUUUUUUUAAUGUGCAGACUUUUUAUGUUGUCAUUUCAUUUGCAACGGCAGAAGAAAGUAUUGCUACCUCAAACUGAUCCCUGUUCCAGAGGAAAGUGGCACGUCACCAGAUAUGCACUAUAAAUCCCAAAAGCAUGACUAGCGUUAUGGAAGCAAAAAACACAACAGGGGGAUAGCACAGCAAAAGCUGAGGUAAGGUAUGGUGUGUGUGUGUGUUUUGCAAUGUUCAUAUCUAACAAUGGGCUAGCAAGUAGCUCUGCCAGAUUUCCAGUUUGCAUUCAGCAACAUUCUCUGUGCAACAUUCCAGCUAAUUGGCUUGCUAUGCACUCUGCGUUAGAACCGACUGGUGUAACCAAAGUGUGUUUUCUUGUUCUUCCAACAAAAAUGCGUCAGCAGUACUGUUGGCCUAAGUCCUAUAGUAGAAGACACUGCUGGUAAUUUGGCACAGUGUAAAAAAUACAGCGGCGUUUGUACAUCAAACAGAACCGUGGAACUUGUUCUAAAGUAGUAGCUGCAGUUCCUCCCACCCCUCCCCAGCCUUAAAGGGGGUGAGGAAAGUUUACAAAACCCACAAAGUUUCCCUGAAACUGCUGUUUUCUUUUACGUCAGAUGUUUGCUUUUGAAUAUUUAAGAAUUUUCUAAAAGUUCUCUCUCUCUCUUCUUUCCCCAAUUUGUAAAAUAGCGUUAAGAAGAAGAAAAACAUCUUCCCCAAUUUUUAAAAAAGAUGCUGCAACAUUUCAAGGUUUUACACUGAUCUGAAGCAAGGGUGCAUGGAUGACUGUGGAAAAAGGGAAACGAAAAAGUGUGUCUUGUGUGUGUGUGUGUCAUUUCAUAAUUAGGACUUGUGCCCUGCAGCUCUUUCUACUUGGAUGGAGAAAGGUCAUUGGCCUCCAUCUUGGUUCCUGUCCAAGGUUACUUGGCUAUCCUCACCUUCAGGUUCCUCCAAGGACUGAUCAAAGAUGCAAUGCGCUUGAGGACAGCGUUCUGGCAAACAAAACCUUGACAGCAUGAUUUUAAAAACAGAAGCAGUCCCCCUGGAACUUCCUUGCCCAUUAAGACCUGUCACAACAAGGUCCUACUGUGCUCUCCAAGGAAAGCUGCGAGGAUUGGCGUAAGAGUGGAGCAGUGGCAGGAUCCACCAUUGACGAGGUCGGGAAAAGCUUAUACCAGCCAACUGCCAAAGUUGACAAAUCAAGUUCUUCCAGAAGAACCCGGGCAACUCCCAUGAAGUGUUUGCGUUCCAUGCGUCCGUAGUUCCCCCAAACGAUCACCUUGGAAACAAGAGGGGUGGGGAACAUGUUUAGUUUGCAAGCAAUAUCACACGAAUGAUGGGAGGCUGGCGUGGAAUUUAUCUUUUGGCAAAGCAUUGACAUAGCUUAUGAUCUGAAUGAUACUAAGAAGACCAAGGAAGGACUUGAGGUGAAGGUCACAGGAGAGUCAAGUCAACUGCGCUGUAUUUCCUUUUCUUUUUUCAAAACUUCAUUAAUUUGAAAAAUAAAAAUAAAAUACACGCAAUAUACUCAGAGGCACUGAAAUUAAAAGAACUAUUUUAAGUAAA